rfam:Apaloderma vittatum contig52972, whole genome shotgun sequence.
GGGCCUAUUAGCUCAGUCAGUUGAGCAUGGUGCUAACAACGCCAAGGUCACGGGUUUGAUUCCCGUUUGGUCCC